UAUUACACCACCUUCUAAAACUACCUCCAUUCCUAUCCACAAUUGUUCCGAUUCUCCUACUCUUCUUCUUCCAAAAACAACUCCACCACAACAUCAUCAAUUCAUGUAAAUGUCUUUUCUAAAAUUUUCAGUCAAGUUAUUAUCUGAAACCAAAUGAAACAUUCAGUUAAGAGUUUAAACUUUUCUCAAAGUAUGUCAAAAAGAAGUCCAUGUCUAUGUUCCCCAACCCAUUGUGAGAAAACUCAGAAACCAUGACAGUUAAUAUGAUUUUGCGAGAAAUUUCGUCGGUGAAGAAACAAAGCACUCAAAAUUGAAGUGCAUUUUAAAAAAACCCAUUAAAUUCAACCCUGCCGUAGACUUUUACAAGUUUAGAUUUUAGCUCUGUGCAUUAGUUAAUUUUGUGAUUAAUUUUACAAAUAAAAAAGACAUUAACCCCAACGAUUGUUUAAUCAACAUCAUUACGGAGUCAUCAACAAGUGUUGAGGGAGUUGGCCUCUAUUAAAUCGGUUCCCAAUUGGCUGGGAUACAUGGCUCCGAGUCUCCCUCUGAAGAACUCUGUUAUGUUUAUUUUUAAGAACUCUGUUUUUUCUUUUAUGAUAAUCAACUCUAUCUUUAACACAAAUCGAAAAUAUCCGGCUCAGUUAAAUGAAUUUAAGACUCUGAAAUGCUGCAAUUGAAACAAAUUUGACGAUUCAUGUGUCUGAUUAACUUAUUUGAUGUGAUUCAGUGAAAGUUAAAAUUUGAUUUUGAAUGAUAUUGAUGACGAAAUCGCUGUAAUUCGAUCGAUCUGAUGAAGAUUUUGAAAACCUUUGAACAGAUCAGAUGGACUGCAACCAAACCAAGUGGUAAGGAGCAAGUAGUAAUCUCAGCUGGGGCAAAGUAGAUGGUCAUUUUGGUUCUAUGAAUGGCUCAUUUAUUUCUCUUUUGGGGACUUGACACAAACCUGAUUAAUAGAGAAAAGGACGUUAUCGGCAAAAAAGGAGCACGAUUCUAAGGGCCCAAGUAAAAAAUCGAUCAACACCGAUAACCUUACUCUGACAAGUGACACCAGAAGAUAAAGCGUGAAAAUGUAUCCACCUAAGAUGGCGGUACUGACCCUUUCUUUACGAGAGGUUUUCAUGUUCCCCAAGGGUGUUUGACGCUCAAUCUCAAACCACAGUCAAUAACAUGGAGGUGGAGGUUACGUUAUAUAAAUACCCAGUCAUGAUUUCCUAAAGACAGAAUGAAGUAGAUUUCAUGGAAACCAAUAAAGUCACCAGAUUUUCGCUCUCUCUUCUUUUCACUACGUGGUGUACGGAAUAAUGGGUACGAGACUACAAAGUUAAGUAAAUGUAAGAAGAUAUGAAAUGGAAGGAACCUCAAACACAACCAACCUAUCUCCUUUAUAUGUCUAGAUGGCCUGAGAAGAUUAACUUUCAUAUCUGCCUGAUGGGAUUUAAGUUCAUAGUUGGCUUAUGGUGAACACAAUGCUGUCCUACUAUGUUACAUCCAACUAUUAUAUGGGACAUGUCCUUUAAGAUGCUUCUUAAGUCUGUUGAAUAUUAAGUGAUCACAACCCCAGCCUUAGAAUGUUAGAUCUUGCACGGUGAUCAGAUAUUUAUUGUUUGGAAGUUUUUAAAGCAUCUUUUCUUUCAAUCUGGACAUCCACUAACACUCAUCUCACUCUUAUCACCUUUUAUUUUGGCGAUUUGAAUUUCUUUUGAA